AAUAUUAUCUACUAUGUUUUAUUCAAUUUUAAUUUUAAUUUUAAAUUUUAAAUUUAAAUUUAAAAAAUUUAAAUUUUUUUUAAAAAAAUAAAUUUUUUCGAAAUUCCGAGGGAAUGGAGGAAUGUUUUAAAACAGGACAUUAAUUAUUUAUGGGAUUACUACAGGACAUUAAUUAUUUAUGGGAUUACUACACCAUCUACUUCUUCCAGAUUGGAAAUGAUAUAUGUUGAUUAUGGGUUUACUCAUUGGACUAUUGGAGUCAAGUUUCAUUAAGAAUAAUAUAUGAGUGAUCAUGGACCGUAUCGCUAAAUUGAAAUCUAGAGGACAUGCCCAAGACUUGUGCUAAGCUCGCGAGAAAAAAAAAAAAAAAAAAAAAAAAAAAGAAAGCUUUUUAGAAAAAAAUCAUUCGCACACAUGCUAUGAUGGACCAAAGUGGAGACGCACUCUAAUGUAUAGUAACCAGUGGUUUAAGGGACGUUGAAGCAAAUAUAAAUGCUCAAGAACAACCUAAAGGAAGCUUAAGGCAAAAAAAAAAUAUGUUAAUGCCGGAGAGUUUUGGAAUUCAAGUGGACGAUUUAAUAUACGCAAAAAUAAAAAUAUUUCAGGAAGGAGCCAAGAGUCAAAAUUUACAAAAGCUUAGCUAAGAAUUCAAAAAGUAGUAACAAAGAUGGUAAGACGAAAGAUGAAAUCCAGGAGGAGACCUAGACUGAGAUGAUGAUUACCUACCCAGAGCUUUCUCAGGAUGGUAUUGGACAACAGGUUCAUGAUUUGAAUUCGAGGACGAAUUCUAUUCAAGUGGGGAAGAAUUGUAACGACCCGGUUUCAAGCUGGUUUAGUUUAUUUAUUUUCAUUGGGAUAAACCGGUUUGAUUGUUUAAUUAUUAUUAAACCAGAGCUUUCCCAAUCAUUUUAAUUGUGUACGUGUGCAUUUAUACCUAAAUAUAUAAAAGCCUACACAUUCUCUUCUUCCUUUGGAGCCGUCAACUUCGUGGAGAAAGUGAGAGCUCAGCCACGUUUUAUUCUCCUAACCAUUUGACUUCUUUUCACGAUGCACUCACCCACCUUUCCCUUCUCUCCAUGUUCAUCUUGUGUUCACACCAUCGCUGGAGAGCAAGCCAUGUCCCGCCGCCGGAGUCAUCAUUCUUCACUUAUCACCACCGGAGCUGUCGUCAUGCCACUGAUGUAGCCUCAUUGUCAUAGAUCCAUCGAUGUACCAUGUUUUCAGUUCACAUCGGAUCCGUUCCAUGGAGAACGUGAGCAGAAGGAGAAAGUGAGACGCGAGUGUUGCGUCUCGGAACCAUCAAUCACCGAUCUUCACCGCCAUGAGCCGUUGGUCACUGGAGAGCUUCACCACGUCACCGGAGAUCAAGAUGCGUCAAUCGUAGCUAUGUUCGAAAAGGAACCGAACCAAGCUUGGAUCUUAUGAUUGACUUGUUUGCCUAGCCAUUCUCUCUAAAGCCUAGAUGUUGAUGAGGCAUAUCAGUUCCCGAGUAUGACCUGAUCUUCUCAGAUAUUGGCUAAGGUGAGGGUCUUUUCCCGAGCUUCUCUUACACGGCUUAGGACCUCGAAUAAGUAUAAUUUAUUUCUAAUGUGUUUCCGUUUGCGUGAAAUUGAGUCUGUCAUUGUUUUGCUUAGUUUUAGGUUCUUUGCUUAACCGGAACUAGGGUGUUAGAUGAUUCAACAAUGUUUGUUCAUUUGUAAUUGAUAAUAUAUAUAUAUAUAUAUAUAUAGUAUAUUGAUGUGAUUUGGUUGAUAGCCGACUAUGGAUAUUUCGGCUGGAGACAGUACAUUGGGUGUGGUGUUUGCUGCGGCACAGCGUAGUCGACCUGUUGUGCCAAGGCGUGGAGGUCGAUAAAUCGUCUACGGGCGUGUGUUACCGAGCACAUAUUCGGUGGUGUUUUGGCCUGUUAGUGGGCAGCUUGUUUGAUCUCUGGGUACUUUAGGUACCGUGUUUUGCAACGUGUUAGGAUUAAAUUAUAUUUAUUCGGAGUGCUCUGUCCGGGUCCUUGGACUUCGGGUUUAGUAUCCCCAUACCUCACUGGGUAACUCACCUGUUACUCACCCCUCAUUUGCCCCCAUGCAGGUGAGACUGACGAGUAUAUGAUAUUUGGAUGGAUUGGUGCUACUGGGCUUUAUUUCGGAUUUUUAUUUGGGCUUAGGGUGAGUGGAGUCGUGUAUAUGGGUUAUUAUGCUAUGAGAUAUUGUUGGUGGCACGCUGUUCUCCAGAUAGGAGGUGACGGGUGUCACAAUUUGGUAUCAGAGUUUAUUUUUAUGGGAUUUCGAAAAAAUUCCGAGGUCUACUUCUUCCAGAUUGGAAAUGAUAUAUGGGAUUACUACACCAUCUACUUCCGAGGAAUGUCCUCGGAAUUUUCCGAUAAACAUUCCGAGGAAUGUUUUGUCGAAACUUCCGAGGAUUUGACCAUCGGAAUUCCAUCGGUUUAUUCCGAGGAACCAUCCGACGAACAUAUGUUUCUCGGAGUUUCCUCGGAAUUUUGUUUUCCGACGGAAUUCCGAGGAAGUAUGAAUUUCCGAGGAGAUAUUUCCGAGGACUUUUUUCGUCGGUAUGUCGUCGGAAUAGCGUUAUUCCGACGACAUACCGACGAUUUUUUCCCUCAGUAUCCCGAUGUUUUCUUGUAGUGGUCCUUUGUAAGUAAAAAGUUUAACAUUGUCAUUCUCAUUCGUCAGGAAAAUCAUCAAAGAACAUAUCAGGGACUUGUAACAUGGCAAAAAAGAGAGAGAAAAUAUUGUCAAAAUUUUGAAGCAUACUUCUCUAUUUACACUCAGGUAAAUUCUCAAAAUCAUACCAGAAUCUUUCUCCACCAGACGUUUCUUCAUGAUCUGCACCUCUGAGACAUAAUUCAAAAUUGUAAGCUUAAGAAUAUGGCACUUCAAAAAAAGAACAUAACAAAUAUCUCGAGGGUUCACAUAAAAAAAUUGAUAUUAACACUUACAGUGUGACUUUCUUGAAGAAUCUCAUGUUACACGUUAAUGGAAGAUCGUGUGAGUCCACAAACACCCUCAAUAAAGCUCAAAUACUGAGGAAUCUGUUCACAAAGCACCACAAAAGCGGAUAGCAAUACAAAAUAGAAAAACAAAUCUCUUGAAAUGCCACACCAAGAGAUACUUCUCUCACCAGCUUCCCGUCAAAAUAACUUUGAAAACUCGUUUACAUAAACAUAUGUUCUUUGUCUUUUAAUUAACCACAUCAUCCUUCCCCAUGGAUCAAAACUCGACCUCACGCUACAAUAAAAGAAUUAAAAGUAACAGUUUAAGAACAAUAUAUCAUUAGUGGAUCAACAUUGUGUCACCACUUUUUAACAGAUACAAAUCAUAACCUGCUUGGAUUGUUUCAUGGAUAUAUACUAUUCCAACAGAUGUCUUCCCUCCAACGUACCUCUAUUAAGAAGUGGGGUGAUGCCAAUGAGUCCAAAUACUUGUUGAAAGUUAUUCUGUAAAACUCAUUGUACUCCACUGUUGUCACCUCUUUAUAGUUAUGGAGCUGCAACAAAUAGAAAUAAACUCUUUAAUUGGUUCCAUAAUUUCGAUUCUUAGCGCACAUGAGAUACAUAGAGCAGUCCUAAAUCCUUACCCAAAUUGGUUGCGUCUCAUUAGCAAGCUCCCACUCCCAGUAUUUCUCAACGACCUUCUUGGUCUUUUUUUUCUCGGUUACACGUUAAAAAGUAGUGAGCAACGAUACUUGAACAUCUAGCUAUUCCCUGAUUCGGAUCAAUAUAUUUCUCUGAUGCUUAUCAAUAUAAUUAUCAGAACAUGAUAAGAGAAGAAGGUAUACCUCAGUUUGGUCAUCUUGCUCAUCUCAUUUUUCCGGCACAGCUGAAUCAUCAUCAACUUCAACCUGUAUAAGAGAGAACCAAGCAUCCAAAUAAGAAUCUUAGAUGUUUUCUGACAUGUAACUCAACUACAUAGAACAUUUUUCCCUUGCAGGCAGAGCAUUGGGGCAUUUACGCCAUGAUUAAGUUCAGAUAUUUGUCAUCAUGUUGAUCAUACCUGUUUUGUGUAUCCUUUUUUCCUGCCACGUGUAUAUAGUGAGAGAAACAAACUGAUAAUAGUUUUUCACGAGCUUCUGAAUUCGCUCUGGUCCUGCAAAUCCCUUUUCAUGCUGGUUCACCUCUCCUAAGAAAAAGAGGUAGUUUUAGAUGAAGGGUUUUAAUGACAGAACAAAUACUUGAACUGAGCUACAAAAGAAAUACCAAAGCAUAAAGAACUCAAUAUGCAAAGUAAUACAUGUUCUUGUAGAAAUUAUUAGUUGAGGAUCAGUGUCUUCCUUAAUAAUAACUGCUUGAAUCUGCUUCUCCUUCCCAUAUCAUAUACUGUUUACCUGUUUAGCGAGUAAACCUUAUACUUGUGAGUAAAUCAGACCAAUGAGAUUUCAAGAAAGCAGCUGAGUUAGAUUAAGCACCAUGAAAUAACAACGAUUCUCUUUAUUAUAUCUGUCUAGAAUACAAAAACUUUUGACAAAGAUCAGCAUAAAUAUUUAGAAGACAUAGUCAAAAAUAGGAAUGAUUAAACGAAUAGCUUUACCUGGAAGAGCAGUAACCUCUGUUCCAAACAAUGAAUUAUUGUAAGAAGCAGAUUGAUACUGAAGCAAUGAAAUAUUGGCUCAAAAGAAAUUUGAUGAAAACUUAAAAUUUAAUAUCAAUUACGUAUAGAAGCAAUAAGACUCUCUCAGCAACUCUGGGAUCAGUGAAGACAAAAAA